AUUUAUAUAGUUUAAAUAAAACAUUACGUUUUCACUGUAAAAUUAGAGACUCUCUUAUAAAUA
rnacentral:tRNA from 1 species